ACAGGCUCCAGGCUCCGAGCCAUCAGCCCAGAGCCCGACGCAGGGCUCGAACUCACAGACCCCGAGAUCGUGACCUGGCUGAAGUCGGACGCUUAACCGACUGCGCCACCCAGGCGCCCCAGCCCACUUUUGCUUCCAAAAUGUGAUCACAUUCUUUUACACACAUGCACGGGCAUGCACACACACACACACACACACACACGACUUGAUCUCCUUUGUUAGGACAGAGGAUUGAGAACUAGAUGCAUAGUGCUUCCUGUAAAGUCUCUGAGCCACAGUUUCAAGCCCCAGGUCUGGCUUCCAGGCAUGUAGCCAGGCUAGUGGGAAGGUGGCAUGGCUGGGAUAAUCUCCUUUUUCUCAUAAUUCUGAGUCAACACCUGUUAGACGGACAGCAUCAUGCCAGCUUCUGAGCAAACAGAAACCUGGUCUGACAUGGGUGCAUUCUUGUGGACAAUCCCCCUGUCUGAUGUCACCACUUAAGAAGUAUCUGUGGAGCUUAUCCUGGCUUUAGUAGCCCUUCAGUUAAGACUAGCUGUGUAGUUUUCAAGGAGUGUCACACCCUGUCUGGGUUCAGUCUCCCCACUAUCCAAGGAGACAUUUAUACUAAUCCAACGGCACUGAAGGUCCCCAGUCUGUGUGCCUCCCUGUCUUAGGGUGAAGAGUGGGUAUUGUAGGGAUGGGGCAUCUCUCCCUGCCCACCUCUAGGCCUUUCAUGCUUUUCAUCCUUCUGAUGACCCUUGCACCCUAAAAAUGCCGAGAACAUGAUUGUCUGUCUCAGGGAGACAGACUAAUGACCAGGAUGUCAGGCUGGUCCUUGCGGCCAAGACUGGUGAAUUUGUAGCGCUGGCGCCCCAUGCCUGAUACAGUGCCUGGUAUGUUGCUCAUGUCCAAUAGCAGUUGAUGAAUGAAUAAAUUGAUGGAUGAAUUAAUAAACACACACUCCUCCCACCCUGCCCCUGUCCCCCACUCCAACCCCUUGAUCCCUCUGCCAUGUCCUUUUGCAAUAGCGGCUGAAAGCAUUUCACGGACAAUUACAGUGUGGCCCCCUUCCCACACCACUGGCUGUUUCCACUGCUCCCCACUUUUCCUCAUCACUACACUUUGCUGCCUCCCCUCUCCUCCUCCUCUAGCUCUUGCAUUGCCCUAUCAGGAGGGAGAGUUCUUCCACAGAGAAAGAGUCUCUAGAGGGAAGACCAGGCUUCAGGCUUCUGCUCAGGGGUCUGGAGGUAGAAAGCAUAGCUGAGCAGGUGUGGGGGACUGGCCAUUGAAGCUAGGACUCCAGGACUCCCCAACCCAGAGCCUGGGCUAGAGCAUAAUUACCUCCCAUUAAUAUGGUAAUCUCUCCUUUAUGGAAGGAAGGCCACUCUUUUCCUUAAAUAAUGAAGAGCUAGGAGGACACACAGUGCCCGGAAGUAGCUGGGCUGAAACGUGAGUUUUCAUGUGUUAAUUCAAGUCCCUCUGAUAAGUGUUUAGCAUUACUUCUGAUGGUGCCCGGGAAAGACAGACAGAAAGGAGAAAGGAAGUGGGAUAAGAGCAAGGAGAAGGAGGAAGUGGGGAGAGAAAAGGAGGACGAGGAGGAGGGAGGGAGGGGGAAGGGCACACAAUGAGAAAAGGACCAAUAGCAGGAGAACAAGAAAUAAACCAGCCUGAAACCCCCACAGAAACAAAGUGGGGCCCUGAUGAUCUUUGCACAGUCCCCCAGGCCUGUUCCUCACUCUGGUCGGUGGGGCUGUAUUUCUAAUGUUUCUAAUUCUUGUCCCUCCUGACCCACCCACAUCAGUAUCUCCACAUUCCCAGGCAGCUGGGGUCAUGUAGUCAGCCCACUUUUGUGUGUGUGGGGGGGGGAGGGCUUCCUGAGCGGGGUGUUGUGGCUCUCCCCCUGAAGUAGACAUCUCCUUGCCCCCUGGUUCUCAGAGUCCCCAUGUGUUGGGUCAAUUGAGCCACAAGUGACAAGCAGAUGUGGUCACAGGGGUGGCCAUUUGACCACUAUGAGCAAAUGUUUACAACUCAUUUUGGGAAUUCAACCAUCCCUUCUGUUCAAGGCAGCUGUGUGUGUGUGUGUGUGUGUGUGUGUGUGUUCUCAGUCCAGCAUCUCUGGUCUCCCCUCUCUGCUGCCUCCCCUCUUUGCUAGCCUUAAUUACAGCAAUUGAGAAGGCUUGCUUAAGAUUGCAGAGUAAACCUAUCAAUAUUUCACUUAAGAAUGGAUUUCUGUCGGAUGGUAUCAGAGGCUAUAAAUGAGAAAUAUGAGACUUGUUCUCAGGUAGCCUUACACACACACGCACGCGCGCACACACACACACCUCAGAUGAAUUAUUAACACGUGAUUUCCUUUCUGUCUCAGGCACUGGGAACAGCUGAAGGCUUUAUUCAGCUAUAGUCAGAGAUGAAUGUUUCUACUGAAGCUAUUUGCCUAAAACACAUUCAGAUAAACCCAAGAGAACCAUGGCUCCGUGUGCUGGGGUUUCCUGUUGGUGAGGAGGUAGAAGACCCUGCUGCUCUGUGCACCUCCAUCUCCAGGUCUGUUGGGAGAGGAAGGGUUGUUUCCCCCAACCAAGAGGGCAGGGUCACCAAUAGGCUGACAAGGCAGUGUCUCUGCUGGGGUGGAGGAGGGACCUGGGCACAGGAUCCCUCUUGCUCCCUUUCCUUGUCUUCCUCUCCUUCUAGAGGGAUCCAGAGAUACAGGCUCUCACAAUCCUCUGUAAUUCCUCAGCCUUGGAGUCUGCAAGUACCCUGAUGCUUUUAGCAUUGGGAAUAACUUGUGGUGGAAUGAACAUGGGCUUGGUGAUCAGACACACCCAAGCCACUUGCAAUCUAUGUAAACUGGGUAAGUCACACCUUCUCUGAACCUCAGUUUCCCCAGCUCCAAAUGAGGAAACAGUUGGAUCCAUCUCACUGGAUUGGUGAUGGAAAAAUAUAAAACCCUACAAUGAAGGGCUCCAGGGUGGCCACUUGGCUGGUGGAGAUGACAGUGUGAUUUCUCAGUAUUGUUUGUUCUGGGUGCCCCCCUUAAAAAGGGCAUUGACCAACUCAGUUUGUCCAGAGAGAGGUGACUAGGGUACUGAAUGGUUGGAAAACCAUGGGCUUGUAAGAGCAAAUAGAAGACAUUGGAAGUAUUUAGCCUGGAGAAGUUAUGUCUCGGGGUGAUAUACUUGUCAUCUUUAAGUACAUCUUCAACAUCUUCUUGUUGAAGAAGGAUCAGAGGUGUUAUGUGAAGUCCCCAAGGGAGAAAUAGAAAUUACAGGAAAACUUAGGUUAAUAUAAAGACUAUUUUAACCAUCAGAAGUGUGUGACAAUGGAAUGGAUAAUUCAGAUGGUACUGAAUCCCCACCACUGACCAUUUUCAAGAGUGGCAAACAACCAGUGGCGGGGAGGUAGUAGAGGUGAUUUGGCACUCCCAGUUGGAGACCUUAUGAUUUCCUGACAGCUAGUCUACAGUUCCCUGGGGAGGGUCCUUUAUUGGAGAAGGAAUCCUCUCCUCCCUCCAUCGAGUCUCUCAUUGUCCUUGGGAGAAGGUAAUUUCUUUGUCGGCAAAUUUGGGGAGAAUCUGAUUGUUCUCCACUUUGAAGAUCUUUCUGCUGACAGAAGACAUAUAUUUUCUGCUUCUCUCCAUCACAGGAUUGGGGUAGGACUGCAGGUGACAGCUCUGCCUGAGACUCACUGAGUCUUGUCAAAAUUAUGAGGUGUUAGCAAGCCCACCCAUAAUGUAAUGGUACAGUCACCACUGUUGUAGUGGCAUUAAAGAUAAUAUUUUGGUCUCCAGCUACUUGGCUCCAUUAUCUAUUUCUUAGAACGCUCUGAACUGGGUAUAGAAGAAGGGAUAGUAGACCUCCCCAAGACCCUAAGGUAGUUCAACUUCCUAAGGUUGGAACAAGAGUGGUCAAUGACCAUUUGCUUUCAGAUCUACUCCCUGCCCUUCUGCAUGCUACAUUUCCUAGACUCUUGCCAGGGUUAGUAAAUGGGAGCAACAGAGGGAGACUGCAGGAACAAAAAAGUGAGAAGCCAAGGUAUUUCUCCCUCUCUCAUCCUGAUUCAAUGGAUGUCUUCAGGGUGGCUGAACUUCCAGCAUGGCUCCAGCCUUUGCCAAAUAGCCUUGCCAUGUGGUUUCUGAUACAAGCACCUCCUGUCCUCGCUCCAGCCCUAAGGUCAUAGUGGCUUCCUACUGUUUGCUUCCCCUCCCUUUUUUGGUUUCUCAGCUCUUCCAGCACUCAUGCAACCAAUUUCUUGUAUUCCUGACCUCUGUUGUGAAUAUAUAAAGUCAUUUAUAUUUUCAUGAGUGGAUCCUGAAUGAUACAGAACAUAGUCUCCACUUAGGGAAUUUAUGUGGCUGAUUCCCUUGAGGGCAAGCUUCUUGAAGGUCCCCAUGUGAUUCACAAUUCCCUGAGGAUCCAUCCAAACCUCAGGUGCCUGAUCUCUAUGCCCCGGAGUGCUGGUAUCCCUGCAUGGUCUCCAUCUAUAGUCAAGGCGAGGGUGGAGUGUUAGCAGUCUGUGGCAUGGGCUUUACCUUGCCCCAAGAAGUCAGUCACUGGGUGCUCCUAUAGCAGGGGAGCUGAGGGUAUAACAGUCCAUCGUUGGAAGCGAUCUUUGACCUGAUUUGACUUUCCCAUAAUGGGGAGGGGCAAAAAUAUGUGCUCUCUGUCAGCAUGAAGAUCCUCAAAGUGAAGAACACUCAGAUCUUCUCCCAAACUCACCCAGCCUGUUCCAUUUGAUUGUCAGCUCCCCCUUCUCCACUCCUGACAGUUCACUUAGAUUCAGCUCAUCAAACCUUCCUGUAUCUUGGCUUGUGAGUGGUCUUGUCCAGACCAUCUGUUCCAUGUGCCCCUGCCCAAUGGGGCAGCUCUGGCUCUGGGGCUCCAGGAUCUUUAGUCUGUUUCCAUCCUUGACCACACCUGCAUAUGACAGGCCUUGUUAGAGACAGGUCUCUUGAGUCUCCACAGGUGCCUUGCAGCUGCCAGUGCCCAUCAGCGAGCUCCCCCUCUGUCCGAGGACACUGCCAGAAAUGCAGCAGGCAUCUGCACCUCUUUUCCACAGGCCUGGAAAUGGGCAAGCCUGGGGCUGCAGACGUGGAAGCAGGCGCCAUGGGAAAUCUGUCGUACCAGCUUCAUUCUGCGUCAUUGUCUGCCCAUGAGCAACCUUAAGAAGUUGAUUUAGAGUUUCUUGCCUGAAGAAAGAAGUGGAUGACUUAAUACACUCUGAGAUUAUUCCAUGAGCACCGUGAAAGGACCUAAGGGUAUCAGUCUACAAAUGAAUCUCUGUCAUAAUCAUCACUAUUGCCAUCCCUAUCUCUGUGAUGGUCAUAAACUCUAUCAUCGCCACCAUCACCUCCAUCACUACUCCCACCUCCAUCCUUAACACCCCCUCCUGUCGCUAUUACUGCCACUGCUCUGUGAUCACUAUCACUAUGAGCAUGAUUACGCAAAUCUACACUAGAAUAGCACCAACUAGCACAUGUCACACACCAUCCACUCCCCUCAUUACUCUUCUAUGAGGAUUUGGCUGGGCCAAGUACCAUAGGGCCAAGUACCCAGCUACAUGGAGGCUUUCACCAGAGACAAUCCUACCUACAUAGGAGCCCUGCACAGAGCAGCAACACAAAGCCAAGACACAAAGGAAAAAAGAGGUUAUUUCUGCAUGGGGCAUUUUGGUAGUGAGAGGAGAACUAAGUAAAGGGAUGGGAGGGGAAAUCAGCCACUGGAAAGGAAGCAGCCAGAGGAGGUAGCAGACCCCAUGCCUGGAGUUGGUGAAGGGACCCUGGGAACUACAUGGGGAAUCAGUCAGUGUGGCUGGAGUGUGGGAGAUAACAGUGGGUUGUACUGGCUGAUGCGCUCCUGCCUUUGGAUAGUCUGCUAACCACCCAAUUUCCCUAGAUGGGGGCAGGAUGGGGUGGUAAGAAAGAGGAAGGCAACCCCUGGAGUCUGGGAGCUGCUCUUGGUACCCUCCUGUUGAACAUAAACAAUUUCACAGGACAUCAACAUCAGACAAGGCCACCCAUGACCAUGACAGAUCAAGACAAAACCAACUCUAUUCUGCAAUCAUGUCUGAAUGCGGAAAGAGCAUGAGCAUUGUCCAGACCAUAAAAUGCCAAACACCCCUCCCCCAGCCAGUUACAGCUUUAGCCUUGUUCCAGGCUGCCCAGCCUAUACGAUUGAUACCCAAUCGUAGAAUAGUCCCUGCUUUCCAACAACACUCAAUCCUGGGCAAACCACUACCUCCUUGGAUCCUCCCCCAAAUCAUCUAACUCAAGCCCAAGUCCUAGAACUGCUUCUCUCCAGCUCUGUCCUCUUCCUGAGAUGCCCCACAGUCCCCCAGUGCAUGUUUUUCCUGACUGCAGCGAGUGAUAAACCCACUGCUCCCCUACUGCCACGUUGCUGGGGCCCUUUGGCUGAAGGGCACUGACAGAGAUGUGGGAGAACAUUACUUCUAGUGCCUCUGAAAAAGUUACUAUUGUUCCCCUCCAUAGGGGUCUUCCUUUCUCCUGGAAGGACAUAUGGAGUGAUCAGAGUGUGGUGCAGUCAGCCUGAGAAUCUCUUUCUGGGACCCAGCUUUUCCAGUCAAUCACCCUAAUAAGAGAACAUGAAAAUACUGGUCAACAGGCCAUCACAUUCCCCUGAGCUUCUUGGUGAAAUGCAGGAUACUGUACCUUACUCCCAGGGACCUCCACACAAAAGACAUGAAGUCCAUUAUUUUAACAAGUUCCUCAGAUGGAACUUGGAUAGCAAAGUUUGGGAACCUGUCACUCUGAGGGCCUUCAAGGUCACCAAAGACUCAAGAUUGGGGCUAACUAAAAAGCCUCUCACACCCUGGAAGCCAUAUAUUUCCUAGGUUCAAGCCCCUGUGGUGUUUCUAUCCCACUCUGGAAAGGCCACACAAUAUCAGGUCCCCCCUGCCUCCCUAGGCAUGACCCACAUCUUCUGUUAGAGGUUAAGGCACAAAACUGCUCAAUAACAUUCAAGGUAAAGGCAUCUGCCUCCAGCAAAAUGUGUCUCAAAGGGACUCACAUUUCAUAUCUUGAAGUGAAUGAAAAUGUUAAUCAAUAGAUCCAUCAUCUUGGCCCCUGUGUCUCUGAGCUGCAGAUGCAGAGAACACAAACCAAUAAUGGUAUUUAAAUACACACACAUGCACAUGCACAUACACACAUGUGCUUGAGCAUGCACAUACCCACACGUGUGCGUGCACACACACACACACACACACACACACACACACACACAGUUGUUCCCACAUGGGUUGAAUAGGCAAACAAAUCUCUUAUAGUCAAAGUCUUGCAUAGCCUCUGUACUCUCCCAUCCUGUCCUCACUGGCCCACUCUCUUCCAUGAGGACAGCCCUGGCCUGGUGAAGUCUCAGGGUCAGACCAUUUGCUUUGGAUACAUCCUUGGCUGCCCCACCCAAAGCUUAGACUCUGCUUUAUGGAGCCACAGGCCUAGGAACACCUCCUUUCUCAUUUCAUCUUUUUUCCACCCUGAGUCAUCUCCAGCAAUUUGGGCCCCAGGUCACAGCCUUGCAGCUCAGAGCUGAUGCUGGAGUGGUUUAGGACUAUGGGGCUUGGGACUGGGGGAUGCAUUUUGCAUGGAGAAGGACAUGACUUGGAGGGAUCCAGAGGGUGGAAAGUUAUGGCCCUCCAAAGUCAUACAUUGAAGCCCUAACCCUCAUGACCUUGGAAUGUGGCCGUCUCUGCAGAGAAGGCCUCUAAUGAGGUAAAUGUAUUAGGAUGGGGCCGUUAGGGCAGCACCUACCUAAUCUGAGUGGUGUCCUUAUAGGAAGAGGAGGUCAGACCAUACAGAGAGAUACCAGAGAGGGUGAACUGUGUCCCCCCCACCCUUUGACCUCUCUCCGCUUUUAUUCAUCUUCAGCAAUUUGGGCCCGGGCCACAGCUCUGCAGCUCAUACUUGGGUGGAGGAAAGCUACUUCACCACAGACGUGAAGUCUUGGUGGGGCAACGUCACAGUCAAACGUUGUCCAAGUAGCCAGAGUGUCCGUCAGUGUAGCUGCAUCCAACCAGUCACCCCUUAUGCAGUCACUGGCCUCCCACUCCUCCCUCUGCCAGCUGGCCCAGUGGUGAAUCAGACCCACAGAGCAGCAGGGCAGAGAUGGGCAGAGUUGGAGGUCCUGCAUGAACCCUGGCCCUGUCCAUUCUAAUUCUGCGAGGCUGGGCUAGUUAGGAGACUCUCUGAGCCUCAGUUUCCACACUGCCCAAAAGGGAAUACUACCAUCUCUAUCUCCACAGUGUUGCCACGAUAAUAAACAUUAAGUUCUCAGUGACACGGGCUCCUCUCUUGCAUCAUGCCAGGCUUGCCUGACACCGCCCAUGGCGGCACUGGGCUCUAUGCCAUGCCUUCUGCUCCUUCUCAGCCACCUUUCUCCUAUUCUUAUUGUCCUCACUGCAGACACCGCAGUGAGAGCUUUAUCUCCAUUCCUUGUUCCCUGGCUUCUGAAAGGUCCUCUGCCUCCCUCCCCACCCACAGCCUUAGAUGCUGGGUGCUGCUGUCUGGCCUAAUACCUAGCACACAUCAAGUCAGUACCAUUCACAGAGCAGUAGUAGCCACACACUUCCUUCUCUUCCAUCAGGGUGCACUCCUUGAAGACAGAGGCAAACUCUUUCCUCAUUACAUCUGCUCCAGACCCAGCUGCACUCAAUGAGCAUGCUCGGGGUUGGCUGGUAGCCUCUGAAGUACACCUAGACCUGGAAGGGACUGGUGGUUCCACGGGUGGCAAUGCUCCAUUCGGCGUGGGCAUUCAUGGCCUUUGUUUUCAGCCUGACUCUUAACUCCUGAUCCUAACACUCCUGAGCACCUCAGUUUAUUAAGAGAAAAUGGAGAGUUGGAGUAGUCUAGAGGUGAAGAUGACCUUAGUCUGUUAUUCAAGUAUUUCCAACCUGUACUUGGAGAGGAGGCACGCGGACACUUGCAGGUGACUGUUUCCAUUUGCCUGUGCUUGGGUGAAGGUGCCACUGCUGCCUUUCGCACUUAUUCCACCCCCACCUCCCACCUGGACUGGAAGAACACGUGCAUCUUGGAUGCAGGAAAGUAAGGAGGAGUGUGAUUAUGUGGGGACUCCUGAAUGAUUUCCCUAAAAGAGCGGGAUUAAAGGGAGGGACCUGGUCACCAGAUUGGAAACUAUGAGAACCCCUCCUCUUUCUCAGUCUUGAUAAAGCAGCUUGGAGGGGCUUAUUACUGUGAGCAGGAAAGAUCCCUGCUCUGCCUUCUCAUUUAUGCUGCAUGACUGCAAGCAGCUGCUUUACUCCUCUGAGCCUCAGUUUCUUCAUCUGGAAAAUGGGGUUGCUAUGGGGAUGGUGCAUGGUAACUCAUGAAAGUAGCUGAGGUCUUCAAUAAAUGGUAGUCAAAGCUGGCGAAGUCCUUCAGUUUUUCAAGGCAAGGAAGAAAAGACCUCCUACAGCCACCACCUCUGUGCCAGGGCACAGAUCUUCAGUAUAUCAGAGACUCUUCCUUGCCUCCCCACCCUCCACCCUGCCCAGCAGGUCCCAAUGGUGGUUCUGGGUUGGUGCCCUGCAGUUUGCUGAACCCUGCAGUUUUGACAGGCAGCCCCAGGAACCCAGAGGAUCUGAAUGGAAAGCGCCUAAUUAAUUACUGCUGUAAUAGUUCCAACAACAGCAGCCCUGCCGUGCUGGGCUACGGGUGUCGUUUUCAGCUUCCUGUGCACAUUCACCCCACAACUUCUACCCCAGGCUGCCUGACUGGGGUAAAAUAAGACCUGGAGAGGGACAAUUGAAGUCCUCUGGCUUCCAGAGAUAUGGAUACAUCCCAUUUGGCCUUCCUCCUAUGGCUCUGUGUUUCUGAGCUCUUCCCCUGCUAAGAACCCCAAUGCAAACAGGAAUCUUAUGCACACUGCAGUGAGGACUGAGGAAAAGCAGUGCAUUCAGAGCGAGGAAACCAGGAGUCUGUGCUACCCUUAUGUGCUGUGUGCCCAGGGUAAGCCUCUUUACCUUUCUAAGCCUCAGUUUCUUUAUCUGUGAAAUGGGGAUGGUAGGCCCAUCCUGGCUAGCACAUAGGACUGAAGUGUAUUACUUAAUAAAUGUGAAUUGCUUUAGAUGCUAUACCAAACAAUGAAUGCCUGGAGGUCCCAUUCCACUUCUUGGAAGGUCCCUGCCUGCACAAUGGAUGGAGACAAAGUGCCUUCUGGCUCCUCCCUGUGGACCUUUCUGAGCAAUACAUCACCCCAGCUGUGCCCACAUUAUCUUGAUGGAUGAGUCUAAGGUGGAGGUUCCUAUGGAUGGGGCAAUGGAGGCUUGGGAGGCAGGGCUGCCUGGUUUCAUCAUGGGAACCCAAACUGUAUAAGCCCCAUAUCAAGGAGAACAGGAUGCUCCAGCCUCAGAGAAGUUUCCAUGAUUCACUGCACCUGACUCUCACCCCCAACCCCACAAUCAGACCUGAGCCUUAUGGGCAGAGACCAUUUUGAGGACUGAGAGAAUAUCCCCAAUUACCUGGAGAUCCUACUGUAGCUGAGGGCCCUUCUACUUUGGGAAACAUGGUCCACUUUGUGAGCCUCCUGGUCCAGGUGGAAAGUCUCCAAGUUCAGGAGAUCUUCACCAGAGUCCAGAGCAGAAGUAGCUAGAGACACCUGCCAAGUGGUUGUAGACAAAUGGUCCUUCGAAGUGGGGCAGCUGCCAGGGGAUGGGUAUCUGGGAGGGUCUGUGCCCUCACCCUGUGAGCCCCUCCAGGGAGAAUCAGCUCCACACCCACUUCCUGAGUGAUGAAUAUAAGCAGAAGCAUCCUCUCCAGAUAUGAGUAGCUGGGGAUCAGGCGACACCUUUGUGGAAUCUGCAAAAGGCACGCCUUAACUCCAUGACUCAGUUGAUUUCCUUGGGGCACAUUUUCCCCCUGAAUGGUCUUCCCAACAUCUUCAGGCCUUGGCAUUCCCUUUUGAGAAGAGUCUCCGGGUCUCCCUUUGCCCUGAGAACAGAAAGCUUGAAGGCAAAAUGAUGAUCAAUACAAUAAGACCCCUUUCAAGCAAAGGUACCAGGAAAAUGAAUCCAUCCCUCCUUUUUGCAGGGAGAACUAACAUUUUUACAAUGUUUACCAUCUGCCUGGCUCUGUCCUACUGGCUCUUCAUAUAUUACCCAUAUCAGUCCUAUGAGGUAGGCACUGUUAAUGUCUCCAUCUUACAGAUGGGGAAAUUAAGGCCCAGAAAAGUUAAGAGACUUUCCCAAGGUCCCACAUCUACUAAGUAGUAGCUGGCAUUCGAACCCAAAUAGCCUGACUCUUGAAUCUGGGCUCUUAAACUCCAGCUCUUCUAUCUCUUGCUGUCCUGGCCAUGUUCUCGCUACUUCUAUGUCCAUCUUUCAUCCUGGACUGUGAGCUCAUGGGCCAGGAAUCUGGUUUAUUCUUCUUUGUCCCCUCCAACUCCAGGCAUAACCCCUGGAGCAUACUAGAUGUCCAGGAACCAUUUGUUCAUAAGUAAAUGAAUAAAUGGCAUGGUGACAGGUGCCAAUGAAAAGAUAUUUGGAGUCUAGAUCAAGGGGGAUCCCAAAUGCCUGGCAUUUGUGUAGACAGUAGAGAUCUCAAGAAGGACAGUCCCUGCUGGGUUGUGCUUACUCUGUUAACACUGUUUGGACACAUGCUUAUUGGAGUCACGAGACAUAGCGGCGUUAACCUGGGAUCCAACUACAAUUUUUGCAUUUUUAGAACCUUUACCACCAAUGUACCAUGGGAAAGGAUGUAUUUAGGGCCAAAUGAGGCUCAUGCACCACCUAUCCUUCCCACCUCAUCCCCCACCAUCAUCAGAAUAUUGUGAGACCCAUUCUGCUUUGUAUUGUUCUCAUGAACACUAAUAUUAUUACUAAUACCUAACCAUAAUUUUCCCCUGGAAGAAAAGUUACUUCACACACUGUGGCUGGAACACUACAUGUUCUAGAAGGGACUGGAACAAGCAGGGGGUGUUGUACGAGGUUCACAGUUGGUGAGGAAGGAGGAGACCCCUUUUCCUCAAGAAAUCCUCCUCUUCACCAAGUCCUAGGGUGGGUGUGAGGCUUCCAGAAGGGGAGGUCUUCAGCCUGGGAAGCAGUAAGGGAGGGAGCUGGGGGGAGGUGGAGAUGCCCUCCUGGUUGUAGGAGAAAGGGGAUAAAUAUCCAAGGUGGCAUGUCGUGGUGGGGAGACAGGCAGGCUUACAUUGUAAGAAAUAAUGAGUUAAAAGAAUCAUUCAGUGAGUAAAGAGAAAUAUCAAGAAUCAAAUUGCAGGGAAGAUUUCAAGUAAUCAUAAAGGGUUUUUCAAAUAUAUUCACUGCUAAGAGCUACAGAUGUCAGGGGAGAAAAUUGGUUCACUUACCAAUAAUAGUCGCAGAGGCUGGGGGAGCAGGAUGCAGACAGGGAAAGUACUUAACCAGGCUUCCUCACCUCCUUCUCUCCUGGGACGCUUGGGGAUGGGGGAGGGAGUGGCCUGUCCCUUCACUGAGAAGGGUGGCUGCAGGGGUGUUAGGCAGGUGAGCAGAGCAGGCUGGGCAGGAGGAGUGGCUCAGACAUGGUGGCCCCAGCAGCCCUGCUCCAAUGUGACUUCCUCUUCCCCUCCCCAACCCAUGCGCAGAUUACGUGAGGUGAGGACAGGUGCCAUGUUUGGCAUUGAGUAGGAGGCUUGUUGUUAUUGUCACCAAGAAUUUAUUGAUGGUUUAUGAUGAGCAGAGCAGUCUGCCAGGUGUAUGAAAGAUUGGAGCCAUAGGCACAUGGUACCUGCCCUGCCUUUACAACCUAGUUAGGGAGACAAGAGCCACAUCCAAGGGAAAACGGGAAAGAUCAUCAGCACCACGCAGGGAGAUAUGGACAUAUCGUGCUGAAGGGGGUGUUUAAGUGGUCAUCACAGGCAGACCAAUCAGGGGGAGCUUCAGGGGCACUCGAUGAUGACGCUGUCCACCUAUGUUCUGCCAUGAUGCUGCCUCCCCCUUUUAGGAUCCCUCUUCGUACAGCAGGAUAUGGUAUCAGUCACACACUUCAACCUGCCAAGAGAAAGGCCAGGGCAAUGCUGCCAUCAGGAACAACCCAGGGCAGUGGGUUGAAGCUGACUCAAAUGUCUCUGAGUGCAGAGGUGGUGUUAUUGGUCAUUCUCACAAACAUCAAGGACAAAUGUCAUCUCACUUUGUCUAAUGUAAUUCUCAUACCAGUUUCCUGAACCCCAGUUCCCACAGGGCGAUGUGAAGAGGACCAGGUGAUCCCUGUAUACCCAGUGGGUUAUGUUACAGGAGAGAAACCUGUGUUGGCGAACCCGAAUCUUUUAUCAUGGACAGUAACCAUGCCUGUCCUUUGCUCCAGAAGAGAUAAUAAUUGUACAAAACUGGACAGUAAGUAUGUCUGCCUCUGUUGCAUCAGGAGAUACUGUCUCUAGCUCCCAGGAAUGUUUGUUACACAAACAGCCUUGAAAAGAUAAUCAAGAACAAGAGGCAAUCAGUUUCUCACUUGCAAGAUAUACAGAAAUGCAAGACCCAUGGAUAACUAUCUUUGGACAUUAACAAACUAUGGAAUGCAUUUAUUUAUUAUAAUUAGUAUUAUGUUUGUCUUUUCCUGCUAGAAUGGCUAUCUCUUUUGUUUACUGAUGUAUCAAUAAUUAGAAAAGUGUUCCAUACAUAAUAGGUGCUCAAAAUGUGUUGGUUAAAUGAAUAAAUGAUUACAUGAGGAAGGAGAAAGUCCCUGCUUGGUAUCUCCCGUCCAGGAAAUUUCUUUGCCAAAUUGCCAGCAUUCUGUGAGGAGAAGGAAACUCGGUUCUGAAAAAGUAGCCUUGUCCUGUGUGCAUUGAAUUGGCAUGGGUCACAUGUCUCCCCUAUGUGUUCCCCGUGUCUCUCUGUUGCUGGCACCCAGGAGGCAGGGAAGGCUCUCAGGGAAGAGCCAGCUGGUUGUGACUUUAUUUCUGCAGCAGGGAAUGUCCGUGCAUCACCAGGCCCCAGGCAUCUCUCCUGGGCCUCCCUUCCUCUUCCCUGCCUUUCUCAGACUGGUAAUUAAAAGUAUCAAAGCAAAGUAGGGCUGUCUCAUUACAUGUCCUGUUUAUGUGACUCUAAUGUGCUUAGAGAUGAUUUGAAGCCUGCAGAAAUCAGCCUCAGAGCUUCCUACUCGUCCAGCCUGGAGCUGGCAACCUAGAGAUAAGGGUAUCAAGACGGGGCUGUGAAUUAGUUCUAAAGUAAACCAAUAACGCAUUAAUGUGGGUGAGGAAUUAAAAAUAAGAGAGAUGCUGCACAUUUCUCUGAUUAAUUAGCCGUUCUAGUUAAUUUUGCUUCUUGUAGAGACAAAUCACAGGACCCUAAUAGGGGAGCAAUUUCCUAUUGGUCACUGGGGCACCAGCAUGGGGCUACAAGCUUCAGUUCUCUCAGGCCCGCAGGGACCACAAGCAGUGAGGCUCCAUCAAGGAGGCCACUAUGGCCACUUGGGAAUUUUUCUUCACUUCCUGAUUCUCUCCUCAACCCAGCAGGAGUACACAGAGUAGAGGGAAGGAUAGGGAUUGGGACCAACAGGCCUACAGUGCCCCAUUCAGGAGUGUUUGGUGACUCCUAAGGACAGGAGGCUGAGAGGGGGGAUGGUGAGCUGUUGGGACUGUGCCAUUCAUCUGGGGUUUAUCACACAACGCCCUGGAGUCUUGCCAUUUCAUCCACUCAUUCAUUCACUCACUCAUUCAUUCAUGCAUGCACUCAACUGUGGAGGUUUUAUUGUUGUCGUUUUUGGUUUGUGUUUGUUUGUUUUCUAACCUCUUCCACAUAGGAGACUUUUGUUAGUCCCAAGGAUGCCAAAAUGAAAGAAUUACAACAGACAAUCUCUGUGAGGAGGAAUUCCUAGCCUGGGACUAGCACAGACCUGUUCUUGCUGUGAGAUGGCCUCUGCCCCUGUCACAGGCAUUUUGGAGGUUAAGAUACAAGCAGGGAGGGAGGUGGGCAGUCUUCACCCAGACGCCACACCUACAGGUUCUUGUCUGCAUGCUCUCACCACUGCCUGGAUCUGGACAUGGUGGAAAUGGUUUGUGAUCUUUUUUGUUUCUUUCUUUUUGUUUGUGUGUAGAACAGGAAGGCUGUUUCUUUCCAGGCAGGAAACUUCCAUAGGCUCCAGACCUUGGCUAACUGGGCUGGGGCUUUGGAUACCAUUUUUGUAGUCUACUCAGCCACAGACUUGCCAAUGGUCCAGGAUAAGUUCUUGCCCUAGUCCCAGACACCUGUUUCCCACCUUGCUUUUGCCUCCACAUAUAACCCCUUCCCCAAGAAAGCUUCCUCCCUAUGGCCAUGACAGUGAAUGAGACUCCAACUGGUCGCAGAAGAUGUAUAAGGGUCUCAGGCUCCCUGUGGCUCAUAUGGAGAAGGCAGGGAAGGGAGGGUUCUCAGGGAAGUGAGUGUGGACAAUAGGAACACCUGCCCAGGAUCUAACUCAGAGCCAUUAGGGGCCAGAAUGUGGAAUGGAGAGGGUUUAUUCAGCCUCUUCCAACUUUUCCAGGCUGGAUUACAGGUCUAGGGGUGUCAGAUCUUGCAUAUUUUCUGAAGUCAACUCAAAUUUUUAUGUGAAAAAAAAUCUCUUGAUUUUAAAAUGCUGGACUUGAAUUUAAAAUAUUUGAACACUGCUAUGUAGGCAAACAAAAUAUGCCUGGGGACUAGAUUCAGUCCUUGGAUGUGACAGUUAGAAUUAAGUUUAUCCAGUAGUAACAGAAAACAAACAAAUAAACAAGUAACAGUGGCUUAAAUAACAUAGAUAUUUCUCUGUCACUUCUAAGAAAUGCAGAAGGAGUCAGUCAAUUCUAGACUGCUAAAGUGUUACGUGGUAUCCAGGCUCCUCCUAUCCUGUUCCUCUAUUUCAUGGUCUCUAUCCCAGCAUGACCUCAUGGUCCAAGAUGGCUGCUGGAUCCCCAUCCAUUAGUUCUGCCUUCCAGACAGCAGGUCAAAGGAAGGGCGGAUGAUCAUGUUUCCUUCCUUUUGACGACAUCUUCCAGAAGUUGCACACUUUAUUUCUUCUCCUAUCCCAUUCAUCAAAAAUCAGUUAUAUAGUUCAACCUAGUUGCAGUAAAGGCCAGGAAAAAUUGUCAUUCUAAAUUUAAGAUAGUUAUGUGCCUGAUUUUAAAAGUACUAAUGGAAUGAGGAAAUGGGAGAGUGGAUUUUAAGUGACAGCUGGCAGUCUUGGCCCCAGUUUGCCUUCAUUUUGAGAGCUGGUUGACCCAGGCUGCUCUUUGUGGUGGGUUUGGGGAGGAGGUCAUGGGAUCUGGUCACUUGGAGACUGCCCAGUGAAAGGACAUGGUUGCUUUGGAGAAGGGUUUGCUCUCAGGUAAGGGACUCUGGUAGGGCAAUCUCUGCCAGAGUGAUUUGGCCACACUGGAAGUGGGGCUCCAGUGACUUUUGGGGGUUAUUUCUUUCUUGAUGUCUUGCAGGAGCAAGACUUCUCUUUUCCCCACAAGUGUCUCUCAGUCACCAAGAGUCAAUAUUCAGGCAACAUCCCCAGGACUGUCAGCCAUAGCUUGGCAGGGCAGGAGUGAUGCCUUAAGUCAGCUCCUGGGUCUCCAGAAAAAGGUAGGAUGUCACCAAUUUUUUCUCACCGUAGAGUGGUGGAAGGACCUUCAAUUGCACUGAGAGUAAAUUCAGGUUAGACAACCAGGAUCUCUUAACUGAGUCACAGAAGAUAUAGGGAGCACCUGAUACUUCCUCAAGUCAGUGAGUCAGUUUACUCCAGUUCCUCCUGGACCAGUCCCUGGGCACUUCCUUCAGGACACCUCAAUUUCCUCUUUUGCAUAUUAAGCAUAUGAAUGCUUAGCUUGCAGGAUUGUUACCAUGGUUGUGACUUGAAAGCACAUCUGUAAAAUCUGUGGCAUGCCUCUGUUCAAGAGGUAGAGUCUCACUUUCUCCCCUUGGCUAUGCACUGACCUCAGUGACCUGCUUCUAGUGAAAUAAAUGUGGCAGAAGUGGGGCUGCCUGACUUCCAGGGCUAGGUCAUAAAAAGCAAUAUACCUUUCUCUCUCUCUCUCUCUCUCAUUUCUCAGUCAUGUGCUCUUGGAACCCAGACACCAUGCAUGCUGUGGGGAAGCCAAGGACAUGAAGAGGCCACAUGUGAGCGUGCCCUCUGUCAGCCUCAGUUGAGGCCUGAUGAUGACCAACAAUGACCACCAGAUGUGUGGAUGAGAAGCCUUUGAGAUGACUCCAUCUGACUUUAUCACUCGCUGUGGACAAAACCCUGAGUAAGAGCUACCCAACUAAACCCCGUCAACCCUGAGAUUCAUGAGAAAGGUAAAUAACUGGAAUUGUUCAAGGCCAUUGUUUGGGGGUGGCUUGUAGAUAAUGGGAACAGUGUUAAAUGAAACAGCUUUGUACCCAGUGCCUCACACGAUGCCUGGAACACAGUCGAUCUGCCAUAAUACAUAGCUCUUCUGGUGUUUUAUCUGGUGCCCUGGGUUCGGGGCUGUGCCCAGAGGGCUGGUGUGCACACACUCAUGGGAAUCCCUGACUGACACCUGGUGUCCUGAAGAUGCUGUGGUAUAGGAAGGAGCAGGAUAGAGAAGGUGGGGGAGAGAAUCAAAGAAAACACACACAGGAGCUAGCUCUGGCUGGCAAUCCACAGGCAUGGUGCUAGGCACUCUACAGCACCGACCUCAUAGCCAGCCCCUAAGAUGGGCCUCGCCCCAUUCUGCAGCUGAGAAAACUGAGGCUGGGAUAUGUGCUUUGGGGUCCAUUCCACGACCCUGGAGCCCAACAGCAUGGGCGCCGGACAGUGCGCAGUCUGCCUGUGCCCUCCCCCCACCGUCCCUCCCUUUCUACCCACUCCCCCACCAUGCGCUCCUCUUACUCUCAGCCAAUCAAUAAACAAGUCAUUACCAUGGCCCCCAAGGUGCUUAUCAGCACUGCAGUGCCAGGAAGUGCUUCCCCGUGUCUCGCAUCUGUCUCUGCUGCUGAAAUUUCCUUAGUUUGUUGGAGACCAGGAAUGUGGGCUUGCUUUCCUCCUUUAUUUAAUAAAGCUCCAGGGACCUAAUAAUUCUUGCUAAGUUCCUCCCUGCUCCCCGCCUGCUCUCAGCAACCCAUGCCCCAACUCCUCUGAUGGAAGAGCAGGCCACCCCCCGCCGGCCUCCCUUGGACUUUCUCUUCUGGGACCCACCGAUCAGAUCAUGAGUGCUUCGACCAGGGCAAUAUUAUCCUUAUGGGGACACAAAUGGGCUCUUCAGGGGGAGAGGGGGGAGUCAUCUCAGCUGUUACAAUGUUGUGUGGCCCCCACAGAUGCAGAGUAAAACUGUGGUGUUAAUUACGGGGUUUCUGCCAUACUGCUCCAGGACAAUAAUGAAGAAAAAGAUGGCAAAACAGUGAUCUAGAGCCCUCACCCCACAAGGUUCGGGUGCCGUUGGCUCUUUCUGGGGUAACGGUGGCAUGGGCUGGGGCCUCCUGGAGCCAGGGGAGAAAGUCCUGUGGCUCCAAUUCCCUUGUCCCACAAUGGUCUCUGGGGAGGGGCGAGGCGACCACACAGGUGCCAGCUGAGAGGCAGGGACUGGUGCGUCUCCUUCUCCAGGACUCCAGCUCCUAGCACUUGCUUCUCAUGUCAGAGUGCCCAAAGCAGUGUUUUCUUUAGAAAAUCAAUAAUGAUUGAUUAUUUAUUCUGCUGGAAAUAAAUAGAUCUGGUCACCAGGGUCAGAGAUUAACUUGAAGCUCUGGGCUGCAGCUGGGAAUUCGGGCGUCUGUGUUUGAGAGAUUCCUCCCUCUCACGUUUCCACCCCACCUCUGGCACCAGGGCCAGCACGGGUCAGGGGGUGACAGAGCCUUCUCCACCAGAGGGACAGCCGCCGCCCCCACUGCAGUCCGCAUCCUUCAUCCAAUAGGAAGAGAUGACAGACGGGCCCCUCUCCUGGUCUCUGCGUGUGGAGUUGGCAGGUGGGGAGGGGCCAAGUGUGGGCAGUGAGCCCAACCUCUGUGUGCUGUGUGCUGUGUCCACUGGCACAUGUGUGGCUAGGUGUGCAUUUUCUUACAGGUGUCUCGUGGCCGUGUGUCUGUCUGCUGAGCUCCUUCUCUGGGUUGUUACACGGUCUGACGGUGGUGAAAUGCCAGGCAGGGCGAUCUGCAUGCCAAGCGUGGGCUGCCCUAUUACCUUAGGAGAGAGGGUUGGUUUUUAUGGGAGCAAAUUAACUCUUUUUUAAAGGUGUUUAAAACAUCUCAACUCUUUUAGAUUCUCUAAACAUUUCGGGCAGGGAGGAGCACAGGGCCUGGGGGCUGGGGAUGGCUGCUUAUGUGGGAUGUGGACUUGUCCCAGCACAGUAGGGGCGGGCAGUGGGACAAGGGUGGGGUUGUGGCAGACAGGGCUUGAGGUUGAGGAAGCAGCAAGGGCAGGCAUCUAGGAUGGCAGGGGGUAGUGGGACCAGCGAGAGAGACCGAGGGUUGAGAGGAAGGUGUGGUUGGGACUGGAAUCCCAGCUCUGCCACUGAGCCAUCUGGUUUUGUCUGCCUGGAAAAGCACAGGAGAAGACACACAACUAGUGCUCCGGACAGCGGUUGGCUGGCCCGCAGGAGGGCCUCAGGGAAAUGGUGCUGGAGCGCUAAAUGGGUGAGCUCCAGGUCCCCAAAGCAGGCUCUGCCUUGGGUCUGAGACCAGCUACUGGUCCUUCUCGAGUCCUGAAUGUGAGAGAUGCCCGGGCCCAUGCGUGUGCUAAGGCCCUGUCUGGCCAACACACCUGGCACCUCAGCCCCACUGUGGUAGCCACAAUCCAAGCACAGCCAGCCAGACGUGUGAGGCAUUUUACACAUGUUAUGCUUUUGAGGUCCUCACACAAGCUCCAGGAGCAUCUCUCUGAACCCCACUUUUCUCAUCUGUAAAAUAGGUCGAGCUAGGGACCCUGGCUGCAUAUGUAUAGAUAGCUCUUAGGGCAACACCUGGCCCAUGUGGGCACUAAGUCAAUGCUACCGAUAACCAUUGUUCCCAUUUUACAGGUGACCAAAUCAAGGCAUGGAGAGAACAAGCAAGUUGCCCAACGGCACAUGGGCAGUGCAUAGCAGCCCCAGGAUUUGGCCCUGGAUCUCCAACUCCAGGGCCUGCGUCCUUCCUUCUAUUAGCAUUUAUCUUGCUUUUGCCAGAAACCGGCCAGCGACCAGAAGCCUACUCUUUUCGCCUGCUGGUGGGCUGAGCCUUAUCCCUGCCGAGCUGGCUGUCAGACCCCCUGAUACUGACUUCCAGCCCACCUGCUCACUCAGAUUCCCAGGUCCUCUGUCCCCUUAUCACCACUCCCUUCCUGCUACUGAUCUUGUCAUCCUUCCUGGAGGAGUCCCUGCCUGCCUGCCUUACUCCUGCCAUGGCAACAGAAACCCAGAAAAAGCUGAGAUUAUCGUCUCCACUUAGGCUGUCCCCCAAACUGCUGUGGUCUGGGGAGGCAACGACUAUGGCCUAAGGUCAAGGGCAACAAACUGCCAGAUCUGAUAUCCGAAGAGAACCUAAGAGGUGUGUUUAUCCAGGAUUCCUCUGCAGUCAGAGAAUCAUAUUGGAGGCUCUAUUUCUUCACUUGAUUUGUCUUCAAGUUGCAGAGCCUGUGGUAUGUGGUGUCCCUUUGCAGAACCCCUUGGCAAGCAUUUUCCCAGAGUGAGUCACCUCUUCUCAGAGCACUGCGAGACAGGUUCGUGCAGCCCUCCUCUUGCAUGAAACCUUCUUGGAUUGCCUCUGGUGGUGGGCCUGAUGCCUCCCUGAUGAUCUAGAUGUGGUCCCUGUGGCUCUCUUCCCUUUCUUCCUCAUCUCUUAGUCCUGCCUCUCACUUGGUGAUCUCUGAGAAAAGCUCACAUUUGCACAAUCAUGUACAGUUGUAGUAAACAUGUGCAUGUGCAUUCUUACUUUCAAUCCCCACAACAACCCUAUGACCCAGGAAUAAGUUUAUACAAGAAAGCAAAGCCUGAAGAAAUUAAGCACCUAGCUCAUGGGGUGGGCUUAGAGCCAGGUGGAAAUCGAAUUCAAGCCCUCUGAGUCCCGCAAUAGCUGUAAAAACAAUAAGUUACACUUAGGUACAAUUCACUGUAGGCGAAGCACUGUUCCAUUAUCUCAUUAAAUCCUCACAGCUAAUGUAGGAGGUAGGUUGCUAUUAUUGGUUCCAUUUUAUGGUUAAGAAAACUGAGGCACAGUGAGGUUAAGUGAGCGUCCCAGGUUGUCACAGCUUGUUGGCUCUGGAGCCAGGAUUCAAACCCAGGCCAUCUGAUGCCAGACAUCAUGGGCAUAACCACCAUGCUACACUCCAAACCUGGUGAACCUACCAUUCCAACUUAUGGGGGACUCUGUUUCUCCAUCACCAACCAUUUAAUCCCUAAAGCCGGGAACAAAAGUCUCCCUGCCCUAGGCUGCGUGUUGUGAGUUAUUCACUACCAGUUGGCUCACAUUCCAGGCCUCCCAGGACUUAUCUCUUAACCCCACAGUCCACUUCCAUUCAGAUCUUUGAUGCAUUCAGUGAUGUAUUCUUGUACAAAAGACAUGGGCAAGAAUAUAAUCGAUGUGACCCAGAUGUCAGUAUGCCAUGCGGCCAAGAAACCCAUUCCUGAAGUCCCAAUGUUACCCCAACUCAGAUCGGGGGGCCUCGGAAGGACACCAUCAUCAUCGUCAGAAACACUCAAGAGCUCCUUACCACCCUUAGCUUGGCCUAAGAGGACCCUCAUGGCUUCCACCUUGACCUCAGUCCAGAGAGCUUCAGCCCUGCCCCAAUGACUUGACCAGUGGUCUCUGCUUACCCAAACCCAGGAAUCGGGUGUGUUGAGGCUGUGCCCAGUCUACCUGGCAGGGCAGGGAGACCCCUGCCACCCCACAUGGGGGACGAGGGGGUGACAGAGACCUUGAAGAAGGUCUGGUCAUAGCAGGGUCUGAUACCUUUGACAUGGAAUUGCCACCCUGUUCGGAAGACUCUCUGAAGUCCAACUGUGCUCCCGAAAUAGGAAAGGUGGGGACACUUGCAAAGGAACUCCAGGGAGGGGAGGCAGUGGUGGCGAGGCCACCUGACACUUCCCUCUGUCUUUGCCUAGCCUCUGGACCUGCUCCAGAUCACCUCUCCUGGCGUGUGCUUUCCCUCGCUCCUCGCUCUCAGAGCUGGACACGCACAGGAAGUCCGAGCCAGUGUCCACUCUUCAAGGUCAGCCUGAAGGGCAAGUUGAGCCCUGGGAGGCUGGCGGGGUCUCUCCCGGCAUCCCUCCCCCUCCAACUUCUUCCUGAGCGGCCGGGUUUUGGCUGGCGCCUUCCCUCACCAGCCUUUCAGCUUGUUGAGAAGAAUGAGCUGCUUGAAGGACACUUUACAACUCCAUAAAUAAUCAGGAUGUGGAGCACACAGGAUGGGAGUCCACACUCUCCGAGUGGGUGGAGGCGGCUGGGCGCUGGCUCUGAUUCUCAUCCCAGGGCCCAUUGCCCCAGCACCUUUUCCUCCACGGAGCUGCUUGUAGCUCACCGGGAGGGGGGGUGGUGGUUGUCAGCACCUCCUCCCACCCCUGGCUGAUUUUCCUCCUGGAGGAGUGGAGGCCAGUGAACAGCAGAGCGCUUGCUGCCCAAUGAGAGCCAGAGGUCCAGGCCGAGUGGGGAAGCAGCCACUUUAGAGAGUUUUUCUGCAGACGCAGAGAGGGAUGCCCAGGAAUCGAUCCCUUCUGAAGAUGAAUCACAGUGAGAUGCACAAAGAAAACCCCUUUGGUCUGAAAAGGCAGAUAAUGUUCCUGACAGGGCCUCUACUCUGUGUCAAUUUGUUGUGAUUGGUGGGAGGAAGCCGGGGGUGUCAGGAAGGAGAGGGUGCUACAGAGAGCUGGACGGCACCAGAGAUGCAUGUGGAAAGAGAGACACCGAGGCUGUGAUAGGGAGACAGAGAGAGCCGGAGAAGCAGAAAACAGAAAAAACGGGACAGCUGUUAGGAGAUUCAGAAUGGAGGGCAGAGGUGUUUUCUUAGAUUUUUGGUGAGGAGGGUGGGGGUUACUGGGCGCUGGGAGACUCUCAAAUGUUUAGCCGGCAUUCAGGUCACAUUAGGCUCGUGUUCAUUGCUAACAUUUAACUCAAACCAUUGGUCAGCUCCCAGUUACCAGUGAUAGCAUGUAGCUUCUCCAUGGGUCCAAGGGGGUCGCCCUGCUAUUACAGAUAUUUGUGUGGGUCGGGGAGAGACAGGGGCAGGCAGAGAAAGAGAUUCAUGUUGCAUCUGAGGGCCAGCCAAAGUUUGAUUUAUCUUUUCCUUUAGAAUUAGCAAUGCUUGCCUAUCUUGUUCAGGUAAUUAAGAGGUAACUGUGGGGAACUCAUGGAAUGUCUGCCUAUCCUCGAUGUAAGACAAAAUCAGGCUUUUUCUAAUUAUAAUCUUAGAGCUGGAGAAUCUCAGAAUGUGGUUCAGCAGGGUUGGGCAGAAACCCCACGUCUUCCAGCUCAGCCCUUCCAUUGCAUGGAUGGAAGGACGGAGGCACAGAGAGCCACGGGUGCCCUCUGCUUCCACCUGCUCGGGUGAGCAGACAAAAGUGCCCAUGGCCCUCCAGGGACAGAGGCAGAGCAUCCCCAUGGCAGGGCUUUGUCAAUUCCAAAUCCUCCUCUCUUCUGCCUCCCGCUGACUGGUGCUAAUGUUUUUUAUUUCUAGCCCCUCCCAGACCCUGCAGGGUGUCUGAGGAGCGGACCCCAGAGACCGAUGAAGAAAAGCAUCCAUCUUUAACAUUUAUACAAACUGUCUUCUCCUUGGUGCUUUUGGAAGUGUCCCAUCAGACUUGGGGAAAGGGUGGAAGAAAUACAUUGAGAGGCCAGCUUGUGAGGCAGGUCCUCUGGAGACCCGGGAAGGUAGAGUGGCUAUUUCUGUGACCAUGUCAGGAAGCCCAUGGCCCCUGCAGUGCUGGUUCUUAACCAUGGGCAAUUUUAGUGAUGCCUGGAGACGUUCCUGGAUGUCACACUGGGAGGUGCUAUAGGCAUCUAGUGGGUAGGGAAGAGUGAUGUUAAAUGCCCCACAAUGUAGGAUCAGCCUCUGCAACAAAGAAUGCUUCUACCCUAAACGUCCCCUCUGUCUCUCUCUGCUCAUUUGACAGCAUGACCUUUCCAAAAAGAGGAGACUCAUUUUUUAGUGGUGCACCAGGAGCUGACUUGCCUGCCAGAACCCCAGACUAGUUCUCCAAGGUCAUUUGUAGGAGACAUGUUCACUAACCAGGGUGGCUUUCUGUGAGGAUCUUCCCUUUGUCCUGAGCACAGGAGGGAGGAGGGAGAGAGGUCAACCCAGUGUCCUGUCCUCUUAUCUUCUUUCCUUGUCAUCCUUACCUUUUAUGGUCUUACCCUCAUCCUCCUCCUUAUCCAUGUUCCUCUGUUCCAGCUCCUUCUGGUCUAGGUCCUGGCCAGGUGUCCUCUGAUUUUCCUGAUGCCUCUCCUGCCCAAAGCUAAAUAUUGUGCAGAACAAAGCAAAAGGUGUCAUCUUAUCUCCUUGGAACUUGUAGGCAAUUGCCACCAGCCUCACACCCUACAGAUUGGUGUAUUGUGUCCAGGUGUUGAGAUCCUGCAGAAAUCAGCCCAUGGCCCAGGGUCCCCAGCACAUCCCCCCGGCUCCAGAGCAUAACCCCAGGGUGGCCUCAUCGCACUGACCUUUCCCUGACCACUCCACCUGUUGACAGGUAAGGGACUCAAGCAACUGCUUAAGGAUGCUGCUAGAACAGAGGCCAUAAACAUGAGACAUGUGGAUCUACGGCUGUACUAUUUACUGGCGUGUGUGACUCGGGCAGCUAAAGUGCGACCAUUUGUCACAUGGAGUGGCAACGGGAUGGCCAGACUGGAACAUUUUUUUCCUCCAUCUUUGUGAAUACAAAGCCUUUUCCACCCCAGGUGAGCUUGGGUAGAGAAGCUGGAAGGAUUGGGAUUCACACAGCUUAGACCCAGACACGCAUUUUUGCUCAUUUUUUAUUCUGAUCGGGGUUAUUUGAUUCUAGAAAGGUGGCAUGUGGGAGUAAAAAGAGUACCAAGAGGAGGGAAGUGGGGAGGAGGCACUUCCCAGGAGUGCCAGUCAAUAAAGAGUAUCUUUAUUGAUACUCUUUAUUGUACCACUCUCUCUUCUGCCCGCUCUUCCUUCCUCCAUUUG